rnacentral:rRNA from 1 species
CGACCGGCGCACGGGUGAGUAACACGUAUCCAACCUGCCGAUGACUCGGGGAUAGCCUUUCGAAAGAAAGAUUAAUACCCGAUGGCAUAGUUCUUCCGCAUGGUAGAACUAUUAAAGAAUUUCGGUCAUCGAUGGGGAUGCGUUCCAUUAGCUUGUUGGCGGGGUAACGGCCCACCAAGGCAUCGAUGGAUAGGGGUUCUGAGAGGAAGGUCCCCCACAUUGGUACUGAGACACGGACCAGACUCCUACGGGAGGCAGCAG